rnacentral:rRNA from 1 species
CUGUGUGUUGUUGGGUAGGGGAGCGUUCUGUAAGCCUGCGAAGGUGUCCCGUGAGGGAUGCUGGAGGUAUCAGAAGUGCGAAUGCUGACAUAAGUAACGAUAAAGCGGGUGAAAAGCCCGCUCGCCGGAAGACCAAGGGUUCCUGUCCAACGUUAAUCGGGGCAGGGUGAGUCGACCCCUAAGGCGAGGCCGAAAGGCGUAGUCGAUGGGAAACGGGUUAAUAUUCCCGUACUUGGUGUUACUGCGAAGGGGGGACGGAGAAGGCUAUGUUGGCCGGGCGACGGUUGUCCCGGUUUAAGCGUGUAGGUGUGUGUUCCAGGUAAAUCCGGUUCACUUUAACACUGAGGCGUGACGACGAGGCACUACGGUGCUGAAGCAACAAAUGCCCUGCUUCCAGGAAAAGCCUCUAAGCAUCAGGUAACAUCAAAUCGUACCCCAAACCGACACAGGUGGUCAGGUAGAGAAUACCAAGGCGCUUGAGAGAACUCGGGUGAAGGAACUAGGCAAAAUGGUGCCGUAACUUCGGGAGAAGGCACGCUGACACGUAGGUGAAGUGAUUUACUCAUGGAGCUGAAGUCAGUCGAAGAUACCAGCUGGCUGCAACUGUUUAUUAAAAACACAGCACUGUGCAAACACGAAAGUGGACGUAUACGGUGUGACGCCUGCCCGGUGCCGGAAGGUUAAUUGAUGGGGUCAGCGCAAGCGAAGCUCCUGAUCGAAGCCCCGGUAAACGGCGGCCGUAACUAUAACGGUCCUAAGGUAGCGAAAUUCCUUGUCGGGUAAGUUCCGACCUGCACGAAUGGCGUAAUGAUGGCCAGGCUGUCUCCACCCGAGACUCAGUGAAAUUGAACUCGCUGUGAAGAUGCAGUGUACCCGCGGCAAGACGGAAAGACCCCGUGAACCUUUACUAUAGCUUGACACUGAACAUUGAGCCUUGAUGUGUAGGAUAGGUGGGAGGCUUUGAAGUGUGGACGCCAGUCUGCAUGGAGCCGACCUUGAAAUACCACCCUUUAAUGUUUGAUGUUCUAACGUGGACCCGUAAUCCGGGUUGCGGACAGUGUCUGGUGGGUAGUUUGACUGGGGCGGUCUCCUCCUAAAGAGUAACGGAGGAGCACGAAGGUUGGCUAAUCCUGGUCGGACAUCAGGAGGUUAGUGCAAUGGCAUAAGCCAGCUUGACUGCGAGCGUGACGGCGCGAGCAGGUGCGAAAGCAGGUCAUAGUGAUCCGGUGGUUCUGAAUGGAAGGGCCAUCGCUCAACGGAUAAAAGGUACUCCGGGGAUAACAGGCUGAUACCGCCCAAGAGUUCAUAUCGACGGCGGUGUUUGGCACCUCGAUGUCGGCUCAUCACAUCCUGGGGCUGAAGUAGGUCCCAAGGGUAUGGCUGUUCGCCAUUUAAAGUGGUACGCGAGCUGGGUUUAGAACGUCGUGAGACAGUUCGGUCCCUAUCUGCCGUGGGCGCUGGAGAACUGAGGGGGGCUGCUCCUAGUACGAGAGGACCGGAGUGGACGCAUCACUGGUGUUCGGGUUGUCAUGCCAAUGGCACUGCCCGGUAGCUAAAUGCGGAAGAGAUAAGUGCUGAAAGCAUCUAAGCACGAAACUUGCCCCGAGAUGAGUUCUCCCUGAGACUUAGAGUCUCCUGAAGGAACGU